rnacentral:rRNA from 1 species
AUUGAACGCUGGCGGCAGGCUUAACACAUGCAAGUCGAGCGGGGGAAGGUAGCUUGCUACCGGACCUAGCGGCGGACGGGUGAGUAAUGCUUAGGAAUCUGCCUAUUAGUGGGGGACAACAUCUCGAAAGGGAUGCUAAUACCGCAUACGUCCUACGGGAGAAAGCAGGGGAUCUUCGGACCUUGCGCUAAUAGAUGAGCCUAAGUCGGAUUAGCUAGUUGGUGGGGUAAAGGCCUACCAAGGCGACGAUCUGUAGCGGGUCUGAGAGGAUGAUCCGCCACACUGGGACUGAGACACGGCCCAGACUCCUACGGGAGGCAGCAGUGGGGAAUAUUGGACAAUGGGGGGAACCCUGAUCCAGCCAUGCCGCGUGUGUGAAGAAGGCCUUAUGGUUGUAAAGCACUUUAAGCGAGGAGGAGGCUACUUUAGUUAAUGCCUAGAGAUAGUGGACGUUACUCGCAGAAUAAGCACCGGCUAACUACGUGCCAGCCGCCGCAGUAA